rnacentral:rRNA from 1 species
CCUACGGGUGGCUGCAGUCGAGAAUCAUUCACAAUGGGGGAAACCCUGAUGGUGCGACGCCGCGUGGGGGACUGAAGGUCUUCGGAUUGUAAACCCCUGUCAUGUGGGAGCAAAGUAAAAAGAUAGUACCACAAGAGGAAGAGACGGAUAACUCUGUGCCAGCAGCCGCGGUAAUACAGAGGUCUCAAGCGUUGUUAGGAAUCACUGGGCUGGAAGCGUGCGGUGGCGGUUUUGUAAGUUGUGUGUGAAAGGCGCGGGCUCAACCCGCGGACGGCACAUGAUACUGAGAGACUAGAGUAAGGGAGGGGGAAGCGGAAUGCGCGGUGUAGCAGUGAAAUGCGUAGAUAUCGAGAGGAACACUGGUGGCGAAGGCGGGUUCCUGGACAUUAACUGACGCUGAGGCACGAAGGCCAGGGGAGCGAAAGGGAUUAGAUACCCUAGUAGUC